rnacentral:tRNA from 1 species
GCCGAUAUAGCUUAGGGGGAGAGCGCAUGAUUCGUAAUCGUGAGGCCAUGGGUUCAAAUCCCAUUAUCGGCUA